CCUACGGGUGGCAGCAGUGAGGAAUAUUGGUCAAUGGCCGAGAGGCUGAACCAGCCAAGUCGCGUGAGGGAAGACGGCCCUACGGGUUGUAAACCUCUUUUGUCGGGGAGCAAAGCGAACCAAGUGUGGUUCAUUGAGAGUAACCGAAGAAAAAGCAUCGGCUCACUCCGUGCCAGCAGCCGCGGUAAUACGGAGGAUGCGAGCGUUAUCCGGAUUUGUUGGGUUUAAAGGGUGCGCAAGCGGAGGUGCAAGUCAGCGGUCAAAUUGCGGGACUCAACCCCGUACUGCCGUUGAAACUGCAUCCCUUGAGUGCGCGAGAAGUAUGCGGAAUGCGUGGUGUAGCGGUGAAAUGCAUAGAUAUCACGCAGAACUCCGAUUGCGAAGGCAGCAUACCGGCGCGCAACUGACGCUCAUGCACGAAAGCGUGGGUAUCGAACAGGAUUAGAUACCCGUGUAGUC
rnacentral:rRNA from 1 species